rnacentral:rRNA from 1 species
AGACGGAGGGGGCUAGCGUUGUUCGGAAUUACUGGGCGUAAAGCGCGCGUAGGCGGUCCGUUUAGUUAGGCGUGAAAGGCCUGGGCUCAACCCGGGAACUGCGCUUAAAACUGGCGGGCUAGAGUCCGGGAGAGGGUGGCGGAAUUCCCAGUGUAGAGGUGAAAUUCGUAGAUAUUGGGAAGAACACCAGUGGCGAAGGCGGCUACCUGGACCGAGACUGACGCUGAGGCGCGAAAGCGUGGGGAGCAAACAGGAUUAGAAACCCCGGUAGUCC